rnacentral:ncRNA from 1 species
AUCGCGAGGUGGAAUCUGAAGGAAGCCGGCGGUAAACAUAGAAACCAGAUAUAAGGCAUAUGCUCGUGGGAAAGGUUGCAAAACAAACCAAAGUCAGAUAGCUAUUUGGAACGGUUGGUGUGGAUGUGGCAGGCAUAAGAUUA